rnacentral:rRNA from 1 species
GCGGCCUAUCAGCUUGUUGGUGAGGUAAUGGCUCACCAAGGCGACGACGGGUAGCCGGCCUGAGAGGGUGACCGGCCACACUGGGACUGAGACACGGCCCAGACUCCUACGGGAGGCAGCAGUGGGGAAUAUUGCACAAUGGGCGAAAGCCUGAUGCAGCAACGCCGCGUGAGGGACGAAGGCCUUCGGGUUGUAAACCUCUUUUAGUAGGGAAGAAGCGAAAGUGACGGUACCUGCAGAAAAAGCACCGGCUAACUACGUGCCAGCAGCCGCGGUAAUACGUAGGGUGCAAGCGUUGUCCGGAAUUAUUGGGCGUAAAGAGCUCGUAGGCGGUUUGUCGCGUCUGCUGUGAAAUCCCGAGGCUCAACCUCGGGCCUGCAGUGGGUACGGGCAGACUAGAGUGCGGUAGGGGAGACUGGAAUUCCU